AUUAUCUUUACGUACACAUUGCUGCCUGAACUGUUUCAUGAUUUCCUUCAGGUGGACUGCUAGAAGGAGAAUUCCUGGACCGAAGAGUAGAAAUCUUUCCCAGACCUUGAAGCAUGUGGCCGCAUGGCUUCCGUGAAGAGCUGGAACAGUGUACAUAGAGCAUUUUAAAGCCGAGACCCUUCCUGGAGCAAAGAAGGAUUUACCAGCUCUAGAGAGAAUCACUUCUGAUAAGAUUUGGAUCAGACUUUCAUGUUCUGUAAAUCAGACUGAUUUUAGGCUUCUCCCACACUCUGUGUGACUUCACCUCUAUUCUUCUGCAGUAAUUUUAGGAGCAGCACUGGGGGAGAUUCCAGACCGUCUCCAUGGUGCUCAGAGCAGAUAGAAAAGGGGAUUCUGUCUACACAUGGGACAGAGACGCCAAGAGCUCCAAAAUUCACCUGAAGACUUGAUUGCAUCAUUAAUAUUGAGUGGACCGCAAGCGCGUGCCAGAGACAGUGUUCCCAGCUGGGCCACAGCAUCCCGCCCCAAAGGAAAAGACAAAGAAAAAGAAGAAACAGUAAUUCUGGAGCUCUGCUGCCUCUGCGUUUGGACUCUAAUUCAAGCUGCUACAUAUCGUGGCUUUGCAAUUCCCAGACUUGAAAAGUUAGUUCCACAAAGUGAAACUGCAUGGCAUAAAACAUGCCUUAGGUGAUGGAAUAAACCUUUGGCUCAAAAAUUCUGGGGCACAGAAAUAUU